rnacentral:rRNA from 1 species
UACGUAGGGGGCCAGCGUUGUCCGGAAUCAUUGGGCGUAAAGAGCGCGUAGGCGGCCAGACAAGUCCGGUGUGAAAGUCACAGGCUCAACCUGUGAAUGCCGCUGGAAACUGUCUGGCUAGAGUCCGGAAGAGGAGAAUGGAAUUCCCGGUGUAGCGGUGAAAUGCGCAGAUAUCGGGAAGAACACCCGUGGCGAAGGCGGUUCUCUGGGACGGUACUGACGCUGAGACGCGAAAGCGUGGGGAGCGAACAGG